rnacentral:rRNA from 1 species
GUGCCAGCCGCCGCGGUAAUACGGAGGAUCCGAGCGUUAUCCGGAUUUAUUGGGUUUAAAGGGUGCGUAGGUGGCCUGGUAAGUCAGGGGUGAAAGACGGUAGCUUAACUAUCGCAGUGCCUUUGAUACUGCCGGGCUUGAAUACAGUUGAAGUGGGCGGAAUGUGACAAGUAGCGGUGAAAUGCAUAGAUAUGUCACAGAACACCGAUUGCGAAGGCAGCUCACUAAAGUGUGAUUGACACUGAGGCACGAAAGCGUGGGGAUCAAACAGGAUUAGAAACCCGCGUAGUCC